rnacentral:rRNA from 1 species
GUUUGAUCCUGGCUCAGGACGAACGCUGGCGGCGUGCUUAACACAUGCAAGUCGAACGGUGACGAGGAGCUUGCUCCUCUGAUCAGUGGCGAACGGGUGAGUAACACGUGAGCAACCUACCCUUGACUCUGGGAUAACAGUUGGAAACAGCUGCUAAUACCGGAUACGACCCCGACAGGCAUCUGCCGGGGUGGAAAGCUCCGACGGUCAAGGAUGGGCUCGCGGCCUAUCAGCUUGUUGGUGAGGUAACGGCUCACCAAGGCGACGACGGGUAGCCGGCCUGAGAGGGCGACCGGCCACACUGGGACUGAGAUACGGCCCAGACUCCUACGGGAGGCAGCAGUGGGGAAUAUUGCACAAUGGGCGCAAGCCUGAUCCAGCCAUGCCGCGUGUGUGAAGAAGGCCCUCGGGUUGUAAAGCACUUUAAGCGAGGAGGAAGGUCAUCAUACUAAUACUAUGGUGAAUUGACGUUACUCGCAGAAUAAGCACCGGCUAACUCUGUG